GGCUGGAAUUGCUAGCGGUACAUCGGCCGUUGAGCGUGAAUCGCUUCAGACAAACUCUGGGUGGCAGCCAGUAGCGUUAGCAUUCAUCGCCAGCUGUGCAAGUUUGUUUCACUAGAGUAUGCCGAAAGCCUGUCCCCCUCCUACCUCGGCUCACCUCUUGUGAUGACCGGUCAUUGACUUUUUAAGGCCUUCGAAUUGUGGGCAAGGGGUUCUGACCACUGUUUUCUCCGUGUUUUGUUUGAGUUCUAGUAUCGUAGCCAGUCAUGUUUUUCUUUUAGUUUGGGGUUGUUGAUAUCGUGUCUGUGUGUGGGUGUGUGCGCGUGCGUCUUCGUACGGGCAGGCGCUUUGUCUGUUUUUUUGGUUUGUUUUGGGUUUUCUUAAUUUCUUAUAUAUUUUGCCCCGUGCUUCUCUCUUUGUCCAUCUACGGCCUGCGGCCUACUGAACUUCAUCUAAUCAGCCAAACCUGUGUAGUAGCCUGCUUUGUGUGAGCACCUGUUAGUGUGGGUUGACAAUUGCUGUGUAUCCUCGUGUGAUGAAAUUACUUCCUUAGAUAGAAUGGUGUGUAGUUCGAAGUAACGUUGUGUGACUUAUAGCUUAGUCCAUCACUUCCCAGCUUGAUUCUAUAGAGGUUGCGGUCUGACUGAGAUGUAGUGGGUGGGUGUGGGCCCAUAUUUCUUAAGAGUUGGGGGCAUUUGUGUCUGUUUAUGGUAUUUUGUCUUUAUGUUGGCUGUGUGUAUUUUCCUUUGUUAUUGUUAUGUGUAUUCUGUACUCUCUCUCUUUUUAAAGAAAAAAAACCAAGAAACUUUCUAAGAAAAUGAUAAGACAAGGACUACAAACAAAUAAACUAUUUAUUGACUGAGACAGCCUCUAUGUUCAUUUAC